UCUCAUGCAGUCAUUCUCCAAUGGGAAGCACCUUCUGUGGUCUGAAAGCAAGCAGAGGGCCUCCUUUUGGAGCGUUACUGUUUGAGA
rnacentral:pre_miRNA from 1 species